UAAAAGCUGCAAAGAGAUUCCAAGCCCUGCAUUCUCGUGGAAUUUUGGGGUUCAGUGAUUUUUCCAGGAUUUUUUGUGGGUUUUUGGAGGAUUUUCCCGGGUUAUUUUUCCCCGGCCUCCUGCACAAGUGAGGGGUCACCACCUGAUUUUGCGGCAAUCAAAUGAUACCGAGUUAUUAAUCACCACUAACGAGCUCCUCCCGGGGCUGCCUUUCCUCCCUCUUCCCAUUUUUCCCGGUUUGGAGAGAGAGAGAGGGAGAGGGAGAAUCUUUCUGGCCGUGAAAGAGCCAGGGAAGCACUUCCAGGGUCAGAAUUCCAGGUCGGAAUCCCAGGUCAGGAUCCCGGGUCAGAAUCCCAGGGUCAGAAUCCUGAGUCAGAAUUCCAGGUCAGAAUCCCAGCUCAGAAUCCCACCUCAGAAUCCCAACCUUCCCCUCUCAGCUCCCAAAUCCCGGAUUUCAGGCCCCUUUUUCAUCCCAUCACACACAAAAAAACCCCAUUUUGGGUCCCUCGUCCUGCCCCGUGCUGGGAUUUGUGUUUGGAUCCGACCAUUCCCAUGGGAUAUUCCAGCCUUUGGCUGCCUUUUCCUUGGGAUAUUCCAGCCUUUGGCUGCCUUUUCCUUGGGAUAUUCCAGCCUUUGGCUGCCUUUUCCUUGGGAAGAGGUGUAAAAACCUGAUUCUGGAUUUUUUUUUGUUUUCCCUCUGAUUCCAGAAGGGAAUUCCCUGGAAAUAGGGACACGUGUUUG
rnacentral:lncRNA from 1 species